AUCUGAUACUAUAAACCAAACUGGGUUUCCAUUAAAAGAGCAAAUUACGUCAAUAUAAACACUCAAUUUCAACGAUACCGAAAUGGUUUUGCAGACCCGUGAAACUGCUGUUACUAGUGGGUUUUGAAGAAUGUGAACAACUGCUUCAAGAUACCCAAUGUUGGUGCUGAGUUUGAGAGAUGAGGAGAGGGAAACGCGGUUGAGGAAAGAAAGCUCAGAGUUGAUUAGCCUGAAAAGGGUAGUCUUCCAUGAGGAUUGUUGAGUAGUUGUUAAGGUUUCAAUUCGAUUUUUGAGGACUUUACAUCUCCUCUUGCCAUCUUCCACUGCUCCUUCGUCCCUUUCCAUUGUCUUCAGUUUUCCCUUCCUCCUCAG
rnacentral:misc_RNA from 1 species